rnacentral:rRNA from 1 species
AGCGGCCUACGGGACGCAGCAGUGAGGAAUAUUGGUCAAUGGGCGGAAGCCUGAACCAGCCAAGUCGCGUGAGGGAAUAAGGCCCUACGGGUCGUAAACCUCUUUUGCCGGGGAGCAAGGGCCGGGACGCGUCCCGGCCCGGAGAGUACCCGGAGAAAAAGCAUCGGCUAACUCCGUGCCAGCAGCAGCGGUAAUACGGCGGAUGCGAGCGUUAUCCGGAUUUAUUGGGUUUAAAGGGUGCGUAGGCGGGCUUUUGAGUCAGCGGUGAAAAUUCGGGGCUCAACCCCGUCCGGCCGUUGA